CUGGCUCAGGAUGAACGCUAGCGGCAGGCUUAACACAUGCAAGUCGAGGGGUAUAAGGAGCUUGCUCCUUAGAGACCGGCGCACGGGUGCGUAACGCGUAUGCAAUCUACCUUUCACAAAGGGAUAGCCCAGAGAAAUUUGGAUUAAUACCUUAUAGUAUAAAGAAGUGGCAUCACAUUUUUAUUAAAGAUUUAUCGGUGAAAGAUGAGCAUGCGUCCCAUUAGCUAGUUGGUAAGGUAACGGCUUACCAAGGCGACGAUGGGUAGGGGUCCUGAGAGGGAGAUCCCCCACACUGGUACUGAGACACGGACCAGACUCCUACGGGAGGCAGCAGUGAGGAAUAUUGGUCAAUGGGCGCAAGCCUGAACCAGCCAUGCCGCGUGCAGGAUGACGGUCCUAUGGAUUGUAAACUGCUUUUAUACGGGAAGAAACCCCGCCUCGUGAGGCGGAUUGACGGUACCGUAGGAAUAAGGAUCGGCUAACUCCGUGCCAGCAGCCGCGGUAAUACGGAGGAUCCAAGCGUUAUCCGGAAUCAUUGGGUUUAAAGGGU
rnacentral:rRNA from 1 species